rnacentral:lncRNA from 1 species
GCCCCAGCUGCUCCAGAAGGGACCCCCAGCCUGAGCUGAGCCCUGACAUCAAACCAAAAUUCAAAACAUUAUUCUGACUGAAUCAAUGCAUCAUGUCCUGUGGCUGCCUGCAAUGUGAUUGUGUACCCCCAUGCGACCCAUGACAAGUCUGGCUUGUUUUGCAGUGUGGUAACGCACACGUCUGGUAUUGAGACUGAUGAAAUCACAGCCUUGCUUCUUCCCCAGGCUGUGCUCUCUUUUGUAAGUACUGAGUAUGCUUAAACUGUCUUUUAGCACAGCUUUACAAAAUAAGAAACAAG